AUCGAACGCUGGCGGCAGGCCUAAUACAUGCAAGUCGAGCGAGCGGCGGACGGGCGAGCAAUGUAUGGGGAUCUGCCUGACCGAGGGGUAUAACUAAUGGAAACGGUGGCUAAUACUGCAUACUACCGUAUGAACCCAUACGGGAUUAGCUAGUAGGUGAGGUAAAGGCCAUCUAGGCGACGAUCCCUAGCUGGUCUGAGAGGGUGAUCAGCCACACUGGGACUGAGACACGGCCCAGACUCCUACGGGAGGCAGCAGUAGGGAAUAUUGCGCAAUGGACGAAAGCCUGAUGCAGCCAUGCCGCGUGUGUGAAGAAGGCCUUAGGAUUGUAAAGUACUUUCGGCAGGGAAGCGUUACCCAAAGAGGAAGCAACGGCUAACUCCGUGCCAGCAGCCGCGGUAAUUC
rnacentral:rRNA from 1 species